GACGAACGCUGGCGGCGUGCCUAAUACAUGCAAGUCGAGCGGAUGGAAGGAAGCUUGCUUCCUAAAGUCAGCGGCGGACGGGUGAGUAACACGUGGGCAACCUGCCCCUAAGAUCGGGAUAACUUCGGGAAACCGGAGCUAAUACCGGAUAUGAUUAUGUCUCACAUGAGACAUAAUGGAAAGACGGUUUCGGCUGUCACUUAGGGAUGGGCCCGCGGCGCAUUAGCUAGUUGGUGAGGUAACGGCCCACCAAGGCGACGAUGCGUAGCCGACCUGGGAGGGUGGUCGGCCACACUGGGACUGAGACACGGCCCAGACUCCUACGGGAGGCAGCAGUAGGGAAUCUUCCGCAAUGGACGAAAGUCUGACGGAGCAACGCCGCGUGAGUGAAGAAGGUUUUCGGAUCGUAAAACUCUGUUGUUAGGGAAGAACAAGUACCAUAGUAACUGAUGGUACCUUGACGGUACCUAACCAGAAAGCUACGGCUAACUACGUGCCAGCAGCCGCCGUAAGAC
rnacentral:rRNA from 1 species